rnacentral:tRNA from 1 species
GUUGUUCAGUGGUUAGAACAUUUGCCUGCAAACCAAACGAACGGUCAUGGGUUCGAUUCCCAGUC